rnacentral:rRNA from 1 species
GAUGAACGCUAGCGGCAGGCCUAAUACAUGCAAGUCGAACGGCAAGAUUUGGUAGCAAUACUGAAUCCUAGAGUGGCGCACGGGUGAGUAACGCGUACAUGACAUACCUAUAAGCGAGGGAUAGCAUUGGGAAACUGGUAGUAACCCCUCAUGUGAUUAUUUGUAAUAAAGGUAAAUAAUUAAAACUAACGGUGCUUAUAGAUUGGUGUGCGUCUGAUUAGCUAGUUGGCGAGGUAACGGCUCACCAAGGCGACGAUCAGUAGGGGGCGGUGAGAGCGUGAACCCCACCAC